CCCUUAGAUGUUCUGGGCUGCACGCGCGCUACACUGAUGCACUCAACGAGUUUACGACCUUGCCCGAUAGGGUUGGGUAAUCUUUUUAAAAUGCAUCGUGAUGGGGAUAGAUUAUUGCAAUUAUUAAUCUUCAACGAGGAAUUCCUAGUAAGCGCGAGUCAUCAGCUCGUGCUGCUUACGUCCCUGCCCUUUGUACACACCGCCCGUCGCUCCUACCGAUUGAGUGCUCAGGUGAAUAAUUCGGACUGCAGCAAUGUUUGGAUCCCGAACGUUGCAGCGGAAAGUUUAGUGAACCUUAUCACUUAGAGGAAGGAGAAGUCGUAACA
rnacentral:rRNA from 1 species